rnacentral:rRNA from 1 species
UACGAAGGGGGCUAGCGUUGCUCGGAAUUACUGGGGCCGUAAAGGGCGCGUAGGCGGCACUGUAGUCAGGCGUGAAAAUUCCUGGGCUCAACCUGGGACUGCGCUUGAUACGGCAGAGCUAGAGGAUGGAAGAGGCUCGCGGAAUUCCCAGUGUAGAGGUAGAAAUUCGUAGAUAUUGGGAAGAACACCGGUGGCGAAGGCGGCGAGCUGGUCCAUUACUGACGCUGAGGCGCGACGC